rnacentral:rRNA from 1 species
UACAGAGGGGGCAAGCGUUGUUCGGAAUUACUGGGCGUAAAGGGCGCGUAGGCGGCGUGCUAAGUCGAACGUGAAAUCCCCGGGCUCAACCCGGGAACUGCGUCCGAGACUGGCAUGCUUGAAUCCGGGAGAGGGAUGUGGAAUUCCAGGUGUAGCGGUGAAAUGCGUAGAUAUCUGGAGGAACAUCGGUGGCGAAGGCGGCAUCCUGGACCGGUAUUGACGCUGAUGCGCGAAAGCUAGGGGAGCGAACGGG